AAUAAUCUGCACUGACUCAGAGGUGUGUGUAAUAGAAGCAGAGUAUCCAUGAAUCCUGUGUGUGUUGUACACUGUAAUUUCUGCAGAGGCCUGUAGGGGGAGCUAGGAGCACCACUGAGCUAACUUGGUAGAUAUAAACAUGUGAAACACACAUACAGCUGUGUGAUACUCUAAACGUGUGUGUGUGUGUGUGUGUGUGUGUGUGUGUGUGUGUGUGUGUGUGUGUGUGUUUUACAGGGCAGUCAGCUGAUCCAUGUGCUGUGUACUCAUCAGUGAGAGCAGGAAGCUGAGGACACACUCGGUCUGAUGGACGACCUUCAUCCUUCACUCUGCUCCUCUUUCAGAGCCUGCUGAGGCUUCAUCAGUUAUUCCUGAAUCUUAAUUAGUCAGUAUUGAUCAUGGAGAAGCAGAUUUGUACUUUGAGUAUUAGUUUUGCUGUUUUCAUUCUUCUACAAACAUGUGAAUGACUUUAAAGGAUCCAUAUACAUGUAAUAAAGAAAGGACCUGUGUUUAAUAAAAGUUUGUUUGAAAG